CCCUUAGAUGUCCUGGGCCGCACGCGCGCUACACUGAGUGUCUGAGAUACGAGUCUGCCCGGUCCGGCAAGGUCUAGGUAAUCGCUAAAAGACACAUCAUGCUUGGGAUAGAUUAUUGCAAAUAUUAAUCUUGAACGAGGAAUUCCUAGUAAGCGCAAGCCAACAGCUUGCGUUGAUUACGUCCCUGCCCUUUGUACACACCGCCCGUCGCUACUACUGAUUGGAUGUUUAAGCGAGGUUCUCGAACUGCUAGCGACUUAGCUUCGGUGAGGUCGCAGUGUGGGAAGUGAACCGAGCUUUGGUGUCUAGAGGAAGUAAAAGUCGUAACA
rnacentral:rRNA from 1 species